UACGGAGGGGGCUAGCGUUGUUCGGAAUUACUGGGCGUAAAGCGCACGUAGGCGGCUUUGUAAGUCAGAGGUGAAAGCCCGGAGCUCAACUCCGGAAUUGCCUUUGAGACUGCAUCGCUUGAAUCCAGGAGAGGUGAGUGGAAUUCCGAGUGUAGAGGUGAAAUUCGUAGAUAUUCGGAAGAACACCAGUGGCGAAGGCGGCUCACUGGACUGGUACUGACGCUGAGACGCGAAAGCGUGGGGAGCGAACAGG
rnacentral:rRNA from 1 species